rnacentral:rRNA from 1 species
UACGUAGGGUGCAAGCGUUGUCCGGAAUUAUUGGGCGUAAAGAGCUCGUAGGCGGUCUGUCACGUCGGCUGUGAAAACCCGAGGCUCAACCUCGGGCCUGCAGUCGAUACGGGCAAACUAGAGUACUGCAGGGGAGACUGGAAUUCCUGGUGUAGCGGUGAAAUGCGCAGAUAUCAGGAGGAACACCGGUGGCGAAGGCGGGUCUCUGGGCAAUAACUGACGCUGAGGAGCGAAAGCGUGGGGAGCGAACAGG